UGUGUAUAUGAGGGUCUUAAUGUUGCCUUUUUGUACUGUUCUGGAUGCCUCAAUUAGUUGAACUUCAUACAUGACUUGUGUAGUUGAGUGGAUAGAGAUAGGCCUAUAAGCCUUUUACUAUAUGGGGACAUGACUGUCAUACACUUACAUGAGAUAACAUGGUGCUGAAAUGUAAAAAGAGUGAAGAGGAAUAUGUCCAUUGGUUAGUGUUGUGAGUUAAUUUCAAUGUAAUCAGAAACUUUUGAGUUGGCCUCAAUUCCAUAGGAUCCUAUCUCAUUUGAUAUCUUCUCAACCACUUGAUUCAACCAAUCAAAUAACUAUCAAUACAUUUUGUAUUGGUCGUAUGGUGCUGUGAUUCUCUGGUUAGACGUCACUUACACUUGAGCUGCAUUCAACAACGGAAAUAGUUCGCAAACGUUGGCUAACGUUACCGAACAUAUUUCAUUUUUGUUGUUAUCCGCGACCGUUCGCUAAGGUUAGCGAACAGUCUGUGGAGAUAUUGUGUGGCGAACAUAAGUGUCUGUUUCGGGUCUAAACUGCUGCUAAAAAUAAUAAUGUGGCUAUGUAGACUUUCAACUAUUUUCAGUAGGAAUAGCUAAGUCAUUUUCAGUUUAAAUACUGUGGCUUUUUAGCUGUUUGAUGAAGUAGCUGUUUGAUGUUUCACCGUAACAUUUUAGAAUAUUAAUUCAAACCGUUGAACUGAAAGUGUUACUCUGGCAACAUGUUCGCUGCAAACAUAAGCCUUGUUGAACUUGCCUCUGGAGCGGCAAAGAAGACAUGGUCGCUACAAUCUGCUUGUUCAGGAGGGUCAGCCUGAUCUUGGCAAUGUAUUGAUUAUCCAAUCUAUCAAGCAAACAAACAAGUUAGCAUGAAAUAUAUAUAUGAUUCAUAGAUUAGUGAACCUACUGUGAACCAGAGGUACAGCUCCAGUAGGAGCCUGGCCCUCACUGCAGAACUACACGGCAAAAACUGGAGAGUGUUUUUUCUGGAGUUAAAAUGAUUAUCCUCUCAAGUGGUGAAAUGAAAUCAUUUUAGGGUGUCGUUAUUACCAGCGGCCGCUAGAGUGGGAGCAAAAAUACAGAUUAAAUUCUAUUGGAGUAGAACAGCAUGACCACGCCCACUAAUGUUGCCGCCAUUGACCAUUUGCAAGUGUCUCGUGAAUGGAAAGAGUGGACAGAUCGAGAGUGUGGAUCCGCCGAACAUCAGUAGUCAUCCACAGAACCGCAGAAUUUCUUCAUUUCUGAACUUAAUUACAAUUCCAGGUAAGUUCACUGUUAUUGGUUAACUUUGAGUGCAAAUUAAAACUGUUGAGCAAAAUUACAGCUAGCUAGCAUUGUAGUGUAGGCUUACUGUUACUGCACGAUUUGCAUAGUCAGAUGCUACUGUGAGCAUUUAGCUAGAGCUAAUUAGCUAGCUAGCUACAGUAACGUUAAGUUAUACCACUUUUAGUGGUUUAUGGACUGUAUGUACGCCCAGUGGAUCGGUGCGUCACCUGUUUUACAUUUUCAACAGAGCGGUAUUAGCUAUUGUCAGUAGCUAGCAGACAUUACUAAGUUACUGCCAGCAGGUUAGUCAGUGCAACAUGUGUUUUACUCUGAAAAGCAAUCUGUUAGCAGACAGUUAGCGGCAGUUGGUCUGUGUUACAUGUGUGUUUCACUCAAGUUUAGAGCUAUUAGACAGUUUUCAGCUGCAGUUGGGUCGGUACGACACCUGCGUUUUACUCUGAACUUUAGAGCUAGACAAUUUUUAGCUGCUUGUUUGGUCAGUAAGACAAGUGCAUUUUACUCUGAAAAGAGAGCUGUUAAUAGACAGUAUUUAGCGUCAGGCAGGUCGAUGCAACACAUGUGUUUUACUCUAAACAGAGCACUGCUCUCUUGUAAUUUGUGCAUAUUUGUGUUAAUGCAAUUUAAAUGAACUUUUUCUUGUCAUCAAGGAUGCAGGCUGUACGGUGAAGUACAGGGAUUGUCAGAAGUACAUUUGUUAUGAGGGGCAACUGACCUUCAAAUCCUUUUUGGAUUGUGUUGCCAAUACAUUUGACAUUCCUACCUUGGACUUAAAUGUCUGAUGAAUCGAAGACUGAAGUUGAGGUGUUUGAGUUUCUUCUAAAGAAACAAUACCUUGGUGUGCUGGAGAUUUGUUCACCCCAAGACCCAAAUCCUGAUGUGGAAACAAUGGGGGGGACUCCAAUGACACCAUUAUAUUGCAGCAGAGUCCUGCUACAAGAAAGACAGCUGAGGAUUAUCGUCUAUCUCAUAUGAUUGAAGACAUUCUGAACACCAAACCUGGAGGAGAGAGGAUCAUGAAUGAGUAUGCUUGGACAAAAAGCCUAAGAGAUAGCAGAAGACGCGAUAUGGUCAAGAUAUUGGUUGCACAAAUGACAAGUGAACAUGGGUAUAUGUCAUAUACUCAUUACAUACCUUACCACCUAACACCAUUUUUAGCAUGAGCAUUAUUACAAUGCAGAAGAUGGGAGUGGAUAUCUAGCAUGGAGGCUGAAAUUUGUUCAAAGGGAAGCAUCAGAGGGACGACAGAAGACCAUGCGUCAAUCACUGACGUGUGGUCCAAAAGCUGAUAGAGACUCCUUCAGAGAGGAAAACUGUCAAACAACAGAAAGCCUGUGAUGUGAGGCCAUUGCACUGAUGAAGCAAUUGUAAAGGAGAAGAUGAAGCAGACGUUCGCCUAUCGCCAAAAGAUGGUUCAUGACCCAGUGAAGUCCUCUGAAAUAUUCAGUGUUUCCAAGAUUCCAAGACAUAGCAGCAAUGGUAUGUGGAUCUUCGACUGCCUUGCCUUGACACUGUCAGGACAAUUGUUUUCUGUUCUACAACAGUCUGGUUAGGACUGUGAUAUAUUACAUGACGAUAGUGCCACACCAUAAUGUUUACUGUUCUGUCAGAUACAGCUUCUCUAUGAUGAUUUUGAAACUGUAAAUCCUCUUGGAUCAAAACGGGGAAAAUAACAUAAAUUAGGAGCAAUCUAUUUCACCUUAUGGAAUUUUUCUCCAAAGUUCAACUCCUUUCUGCUUGAUAGUCAUUUGGUUGCUUUAUUUCAUGCCCAAGACAUUAAAACAUAUGGCUUUUCUAAAAUA